UACGUAGGGGGCUAGCGUUGUCCGGAAUCAUUGGGCGUAAAGAGCGUGUAGGCGGCUUGGUAAGUCCGCUGUGAAAGUCCAGGGCUCAACCCUGGAAUGCCAGUGGAUACUGUCAAGCUAGAGUCCGGAAGAGGCGAGUGGAAUUCCUGGUGUAGCGGUGAAAUGCGCAGAUAUCAGGAGGAACACCAAUGGCGAAGGCAGCUCGCUGGGACGGUACUGACGCUGAGACGCAAAAGCGUGGGGAGCAAACAGG
rnacentral:rRNA from 1 species